rnacentral:lncRNA from 1 species
UAUUAGAAUCCGAUGGGACCACCAUUGUAUAUGUGGUCUGCCAUUGGCUGAAGCAUCAUUAUUUGGUGCAUGACUGUAGAACUUUAAGCAAUGAUGAAAAUGCUCUAUAUCCACACUAUCCAAUAUGGUAACCACUAGCCACUUGUGACUACUGAGUGUCUGAAAGGUUCUGCUUGAAUUCUUGCCCUGGCUCUUGGUGAAGGAUCGGCCUGCUGGAUCUGAGUCAUCCACCUAUAAGAGGGACAACACCACACAUUGGUCGCUGCUCUCAAGCCCCUGGAAUACCACCCCACUUGGCUUCUCCUGAUACCACCCACAUAAACAAAAACUUUUUGGGAGUCCUCCAGAAUUUUUAAGAGUUAUCUAAACUAUUGCCUUUAAUGACCAGGAACUCCAAUUUGAGAAGUUACCCUACGUUAAGCCAACAGCAGCCUGGCUCCUUCAUCCUGUGCAGUAUGGGACAGAGCUGGGUCCUUGUUGUCAUCAGCCAGACAAGCACACAUUAAAGCCCACCUUAGCCAUUGGCAUUACAGCUUUAAAAGCAGCUCCAUCCUACCAUGCUGUCACUCUACUCAAUCACGUGAUCUUAACGACCAGCUCUACAUAUCCUCUCUCCAUGCCCCCACCACCAUCCCCCACCAACAAAUCCGGUAAUCUAUCUCUGUCAAUAGUCCUGCAGUGAAUUCCGAAUAAGUUUUUCUCUUCCCUGGCCUGCCGUUUACGUAGUACCCUGGAUGAAUCUAUACUUACU